UACAGAGGGUGCGAGCGUUGUUCGGAAUUAUUGGGCGUAAAGGGCGCGUAGGCGGGAUGGCAAGUCGGUCGUGAAAUCCCUCGGCUCAACCGAGGAACGUCGAUCGAUACUGCUGUUCUUGAGGAUUGCAGAGGAGACUGGAAUUCCCGGUGUAGCAGUGAAAUGCGUAGAUAUGCGGAGGAACACCGAUGGCGAAGGCAAUCCCCUGGGCCUGCACUGACGCUCAUGCACGAAAGCGUGGGGAGCAAACAGG
rnacentral:rRNA from 1 species